rnacentral:rRNA from 1 species
GAUGAACGCUAGCUACAGGCUUAACACAUGCAAGUCAAGGGGAAACGAUAUUGGAAGCUUGCUUCCGAUAGGCGUCGACCGGCGCACGGGUGAGUAACGCGUAUCCAACCUGCCCAUCACUUGGGGAUAACCUUGCGAAAGUAAGACUAAUACCCAAUGACGUCUCUAGAAGACAUCUGAAGGAGAUUAAAGAUUUAUCGGUGAUGGAUGGGGAUGCGUCUGAUUGGCUUGUUGGCGGGGUAACGGCCCUCCAAGGCGACGAUCAGUAGGGGUUCUGAGAGGAAGGUCCCCCACAUUGGAACUGAGACACGGUCCAAACUCCUACGGGAGGCAGCAGUGAGGAAUAUUGGUCAAUGGGCGAGAGCCUGAACCAGCCAAGUAGCGUGCAGGAAGACGGCCCUAUGGGUUGUAAACUGCUUUUAUAAGGGAAUAAAGUGGGAGUCGUGACUCCUUUUGCAUGUACCUUAUGAAUAAGGACCGGCUAAUUCCGUGCCAGCAGCCGCCGUAA